CAAGUACUCCCUUCGUUCGGAAUUACUUGUCAUCAAAAUGGAUGUGUCUAGAACUAAAAUACAUCUAGAUACAUCCAUUUGAAUGACAAGUAUUUUCGGAUGGAGGGAGUACAAG
rnacentral:pre_miRNA from 1 species